GACGAACGCUGGCGGCGUGCUUAACACAUGCAAGCCGAACGGAAAGGCCUUGCUUUUGUGGGGUGCUCGAGUGGCGAACGGGUGAGUAACACGUGAGUAACCUGCCCUUGACUUUGGGAUAACUUCAGGAAACUGGGGCUAAUACCGGAUAGGAGCUCCUGCUGCAUGGUGGGGGUUGGAAAGUUUCGGCGGUUGGGGAUGGACUCGCGGCUUAUCAGCUUGUUGGUGGGGUAGUGGCUUACCAAGGCUUUGACGGGUAGCCGGCCUGAGAGGGUGACCGGCCACAUUGGGACUGAGAUACGGCCCAGACUCCUACGGGAGGCAGCAGUGGGGAAUAUUGCACAAUGGGCGGAAGCCUGAUGCAGCAACGCCGCGUGCGGGAUGACGGCCUUCGGGUUGUAAACCGCUUUCGCCUGUGACGAAGCGUGAGUGACGGUAAUGGGUAAAGAAGCACCGGCUAACUACGUG
rnacentral:rRNA from 1 species